UGGGGAAUAUUGGACAAUGGGGGGAACCCUGAUCCAGCCAUGCCGCGUGUGUGAAGAAGGCCUUUUGGUUGUAAAGCACUUUAAGCGAGGAGGAGGCUACUUGGAUUAAUACUCUAGGAUAGUGGACGUUACUCGCAGAAUAAGCACCGGCUAACUCUGUGCCAGCAGCCGCGAUAAUACAGAGGGUGCGAGCGUUAAUCGGAUUUACUGGGCGUAAAGCGUGCGUAGGCGGCUUCUUAAGUCGGAUGUGAAAUCCCUGAGCUUAACUUAGGAAUUGCAUUCGAUACUGGGAAGCUAGAGUAUGGGAGAGGAUGGUAGAAUUCCAGGUGUAGCGGUGAAAUGCGUAGAGAUCUGGAGGAAUACCGAUGGCGAAGGCAGCCAUCUGGCCUAAUACUGACGCUGAGGUACGAAAGCAUGGGGAGCAAACA
rnacentral:rRNA from 1 species